rnacentral:rRNA from 1 species
AGGACGAACGCUGGCGGCGUGCCUAAUACAUGCAAGUCGAACGGUCUUUUCUAUGGAAGCUUGCUUCCACGUGAGAAGAUAGUGGCGAACGGGUGAGUAACACGUGGGUAACCUGCCCAUAAGAGGGGGGAUAACAUCCGGAAACGGGUGCUAAUACCGCAUAGUUUUCUUGAUCGCAUGAUCGGGAAAGGAAGACGGCCUUUGUGCUGUCGCUUAUGGAUGGACCCGCGGCGUAUUAGUUAGUUGGUGAGGUAACGGCUCACCAAGACGAUGAUACGUAGCCGACCUGAGAGGGUGAUCGGCCACAUUGGGACUGAGACACGGCCCAAACUCCUACGGGAGGCAGCAGUAGGGAAUCUUCCGCAAUGGACGAAAGUCUGACGGAGCAACGCCGCGUGAGUGAAGAAAAGGUUUUCGGAUCGUAAAACUCUGUUGUCAGAGAAGAACAAGUUGGAGAGUAACUGCUCCAGCCUUGACGGUAUCUGACCAGAAAGCCACGGCUAACUACGUGCCAGCAGCCGC